rnacentral:rRNA from 1 species
AAAUGGAAGAGUUUGAUCAUGGCGCAGAUUGAACGCUGGCGGCAGGACUAACACAUGAAAGUCGAACGGUAAAAGGAAGCAGCUUGCUCUUGGCUGACGAGUGGCGGACGGGUGAGUAAUGUCUGGGAAACUGCCUGAUGGAGGGGGAUAACUACUGGAAACGGUGGCUAAUACCGCAUAACGUCGCAAGACCAAAGAGGGGGACCUUCGGGCCUCUUGCCAUCAGAUGUGCCCAGAUGGGAUUAGCUAGUUGGUGAGGUAACGGCUCACCAAGGCGACGAUCCCUAGCUGGUCUGAGAGGAUGACCAGCCACACUGGAACUGAGACACGGUCCAGACUCCUACGGGAGGCAGCAGUGGGGAAUAUUGCACAAUGGGCGCAAGCCUGAUGCAGCCAUGCCGCGUGUAUGAAGAAGGCCUUCGGGUUGUAAAGUACUUUCAGCGGGGAGGAAGGUGUUGUGGUUAAUAACCGCAGCAAUUGACGUUACCCGCAGAAGAAGCACCGGCUAACUCCGUGCCAGCAGCCGCGGUAAUACGGAGGGUGCAAGCGUUAAUCGGAAUUACUGGGCGUAAAGCGCACGCAGGCGGUCUGUCAAGUCGGAUGUGAAAUCCCCGGGCUCAACCUGGGAACUGCAUUCGAAACUGGCAGGCUUGAGUCUUGUAGAGGGGGGUAGAAUUCCAGGUGUAGCGGUGAAAUGCGUAGAGAUCUGGAGGAAUACCGGUGGCGAAGGCGGCCCCCUGGACAAAGACUGACGCUCAGGUGCGAAAGCGUGGGGAGCAAACAGGAUUAGAUACCCUGGUAGUCCACGCCGUAAACGAUGUCUACUUGGAGGUUGUGCCCUUGAGGCGUGGCUUCCGGAGCUAACGCGUUAAGUAGACCGCCUGGGGAGUACGGCCGCAAGGUUAAAACUCAAAUGAAUUGACGGGGGCCCGCACAAGCGGUGGAGCAUGUGGUUUAAUUCGAUGCAACGCGAAGAACCUUACCUGGUCUUGACAUCCACGGAAGUUUUCAGAGAUGAGAAUGUGCCUUCGGGAACCGUGAGACAGGUGCUGCAUGGCUGUCGUCAGCUCGUGUUGUGAAAUGUUGGGUUAAGUCCCGCAACGAGCGCAACCCUUAUCCUUUGUUGCCAGCGAUUAGGUCGGGAACUCAAAGGAGACUGCCAGUGAUAAACUGGAGGAAGGUGGGGAUGACGUCAAGUCAUCAUGGCCCUUACGACCAGGGCUACACACGUGCUACAAUGGCGCAUACAAAGAGAAGCGACCUCGCGAGAGCAAGCGGACCUCAUAAAGUGCGUCGUAGUCCGGAUUGGAGUCUGCAACUCGACUCCAUGAAGUCGGAAUCGCUAGUAAUCGUGGAUCAGAAUGCCACGGUGAAUACGUUCCCGGGCCUUGUACACACCGCCCGUCACACCAUGGGAGUGGGUUGCAAAAGAAGUAGGUAGCUUAACCUUCGGGAGGGCGCUUACCACUUUGUGAUUCAUGACUGGGGUGAAGUCGUAACAAGGUAACCGUAGGGGAACCUGCGGUUGGAUCACCUCCUUACCU